rnacentral:lncRNA from 1 species
AAAUCCCAAAGGUUCCACUGAGGAAAGAACUUCCUGAAGACUCUGCACUCUGUGAAGAUCAUCAAGAGGAGCGCAUGUGCUGUGCAUGGUGAUGGCUGCAUUUGGUGAGAGGCUUUGGCCGUGGAGUGGGAGCUACACUAUCAGAUCUCCUGGUUCUCAGGCCUUCAGAAUAAGACUGAAUUACACCACUGGCUUUCCUGGGGCUCCAGCUUGCAGACGGCACAUAAUAGGACUUCUUGCCUCCAUAAUCGUAAGCUCCACAAGGGCUGGGAUCCUGUGUGUCUCAUUCCCCACUGUGUCAUCAAGUGCCCAGCACAAAACAGAGCUCAGCAAAUGCUUGUCGAAUAAAUGAAUGAAAACGUGCUCAGCACAGGGAGGUAAAGGACAUUUUAUCUGCACUCAAGAUAAUGUGAUAUGGAGGAAAAAAGCACUGGACUGGGACCCAGAAGGACUGAGUCUUGUCUGGACUGACACCAACGAGCCAUGGGUUUGCUAGAGCAGAGGUGGCAGAGUGGAGUGGUAGUGAGUAGCAGGAGCGCUGCAGACAGACUAGCCACUGAGUGUCUGCUUCCACUACUUACUGGUUAUGUGUCUUAGACAAAUUACUGACCUUUGUGUUUUAUAUUGUCCUUAAGUGUAAAAUGGGAAUCAUAAAUGUACCUACUUCGUAGGACUGCUUCAAGUGUAAGAUGAGGUAAUUGACAUUAAAA